UUUCGCAAUGGGCGAAAGCCUGACGGAGCAAUACCGCGUGAGGGAGGAAGGCUCUUGGGUUGUAAACCUCUUUUCUCAGGGAAGAAAAAAAUGACGGUACCUGAGGAAUAAGCAUCGGCUAACUCCGUGCCAGCAGCCGCGGUAAUACGGAGGAUGCAAGCGUUAUCCGGAAUGAUUGGGCGUAAAGGGUCCGCAGGUGGCUAUGUAAGUCUGCUGUUAAAGAAUGAGGCUUAACCUCAUCAGAGCGGUGGAAACUACACAGCUAGAGUGCGUUCGGGGUAGAGGGAAUUCCUGGUGUAGCGGUGAAAUGCGUAGAUAUCAGGAAGAACACCAGUGGCGAAAGCGCUCUACUAGGCCGCAACUGACACUGAGGGACGAAAGCUAGGGGAGCGAAAGGGAUUAGAUAC
rnacentral:rRNA from 1 species